rnacentral:rRNA from 1 species
UACGUAGGGGGCAAGCGUUGUCCGGAUUCAUUGGGCGUAAAGAGCGUGUAGGCGGCCAGGUAGGUCGGUUGUGAAAACUGGAGGCUCAACCUUCAGAGGUCGACCGAAACCAUCUGGCUAGAGUCCGGGAGAGGAGAGUGGAAUUCCUGGUGUAGCGGUGAAAUGCGCAGAUAUCAGGAAGAACACCCGUGGCGAAAGCGGCUCUCUGGAACGGUACUGACGCUGAGGAGCGAAAGCUAGGGGAGCAAACGGG